rnacentral:lncRNA from 1 species
AUUACCAAUGACGUAACCCUCUUCACCAUCAGGGCCCCGCUGGCUCCUCUGGACCCUGGGAACAUCGGAUCAGGGCCCAACUUACCAUAAGGCAGGCCCAGCUUUUACACAGUAGGAGAAUACCAACUGCCUCGGCAGCUGGGGACGUCUCUCCCAAAACCACAGGAGCGAACUUGGCUCCUCAGCAACAUCCUCCACGGAGUGGCAUAGACUCAGUCCUCCCUAAAAGACCUGAGGAACAAGGUAUCCAUCCCCUCUCAGUCUGAGUAAACCAGCAAGGAACAUAAUAAGCGC